rnacentral:snRNA from 1 species
ACAUCAACCUUGUCUGUCAAGGGAGGUACAAGGUUCUCACAAGGGUGAGGUUCGACUAUUGUGGUCUGGAUGUAAGGACCUUCACAGUUUCUCUAAAGGAGAGAGGCUUGACAGAAUAAUUGGUGGUAGUGUGGGAUUGUGCUCACCCUGACCCUUC